UGGAGUCUGCAACUCGACUCCAUGAAGUCGGAAUCGCUAGUAAUCGUGAAUCAGAAUGUCACGGUGAAUACGUUCCCGGGCCUUGUACACACCGCCCGUCACACCAUGGGAGUGGGCUGCAAAAGAAGUGGGUAGUUUAACCUUUCGGGGAGGACGCUCACCACUUUGUGGUUCAUGACUGGGGUGAAGUCGUAACAAGGUAGCCCUAGGGGAACCUGGGGCUGGAUCACCUCCUUAUACGAAGAUACC
rnacentral:rRNA from 1 species